rnacentral:rRNA from 1 species
UUUCAUAAGAAUCAGCAAAAUUAUAAUUAAGCAACUUAAACACUAAAAUUAAAGCUUAGUUUUACAAAAAGACUUGAGAAAUAAUGUGCCAGCACUAGCGGUCAUACAUUAAAGUCAAAUUAAUUAGUUAAAACUAAUAAAUAAUUACUAUUAAGUACAACUCUACUUUUUAUUUUAAGAGUAAAAUCUUUAUGAAUAAGAUAGGAAUGUGUUAAUGUAACGUCAAUUCUCUUACGAGGCGCUAAUAUAAAGACUAGGAUUAGAUACCCUAUUAUGGGCGUGAAUACAAGAGUUUAUUAAGUUAGUAGCCUUAAUUAAAGCAAAAUCUAUUUACUAUGGCGGCUGUUAGUCUCACCAGAGUCGUAUGUCCUUAAACGAAACCGCGCGAUUAUCUUACCUUUUAACUUUUGCUUAUGUGAAAUAAUUACACUUCAGCAAUCUGGCACGUCGCUGUACUAAAAGUGAAGAUUUUAAAUAACUCAUCUUCUAAUUGUUUAUUAGUAAUUAUUAAUAACGUACAAGUCAAGACGCCGUUUUAAAAGGUUAAAAUGUACGAUUUAAUUGGUUUGAUAGAAUUGAUAAGAAUGAAAACUUUCUUUAUCAAAAUAAUUUGGAAGUAAAAUAAGGUCAUAAUUCUUAUUUGAAAUGAGCUACUAAUAAGUGUACAUAUCGCCCGUCAUUCCUAUAAAUGGACAAGUCGUAACAAAGUUGAUUUACUGGAAAGUGAAUCAGGAUAA